GACGAACGCUGGCGGCGUGCUUAACACAUGCAAGUCGAACGGAAAGGCCCUGCUUGUAGGGUACUCGAGUGGCGAACGGGUGAGUAACACGUGGGUGAUCUGCCCUGCACUUCGGGAUAAGCCUGGGAAACUGGGUCUAAUACCGGAUAGGAGCCAUUUUUAGUGUGAUGGUUGGAAAGUUUUUUCGGUGUAGGAUGAGCUCGCGGCCUAUCAGCUUGUUGGUGGGGUAAUGGCCUACCAAGGCGGCGACGGGUAGCCGGCCUGAGAGGGUGGACGGCCACAUUGGGACUGAGAUACGGCCCAGACUCCUACGGGAGGCAGCAGUGGGGAAUAUUGCACAAUGGGCGCAAGCCUGAUGCAGCGACGCCGCGUGGGGGAUGACGGCCUUCGGGUUGUAGACUCCUUUCGCUAGGGACGAAGCUUUUUGUGACGGUACCUAGAUAAGAAGCACCGGCUAACUACGUG
rnacentral:rRNA from 1 species